GGGAGCUUCUCCGGCAGCUACACCAAAGGCAUCACCAGUUGCACCAGUAGCAUCACCUCCAACUGCUGUUGUUACACCUGUAUCCGCUCCAUCACAAUCUCCUACUACUGCCGCAUCUCCUUCUGAAUCUCCAUUGGCAUCUCCACCAGCUCCACCAACUGCUGACACUCCAGCAUUUGCUCCCUCCGGCGGCGUUGCUCUUCCUCCAUCCAUCGGCGCUGCUCCCGCCGGUUCUCCAACCUCGUCUCCUAACGUUGCCUCCUUGAACAGAGUCACCGUCGCCGGAUCUGCCGUUGUAGCGAUCUUCGCUGCAUCUUUGAUGUUUUAGAUCUGAGGAGAGUUUGCAUUUUGGAUUUUCACGAGAUGUUUAUUAUUUUAGGAUUUAUUUAGUUCAUCUUACUCGUUGAUGUUUAUUCGUUUUGUUUUACUUUUACCCGUGGGCGGUGGUGACUGCGUACAUGCUAUUGAUUUGAUUUUUACUCUGGUUAUUGUUUAUUGUUACUACCACUAUUAUUAUUAUGGAUUCUUUGUUUAUUUAUGAAGCACUAUGAUUUACUCUUAUAUGCAAUCUCUUUAUGUUCUUUAAUUAAUUUAUUUAUUUCCAUAAAAACUUUACAGUGUUAAUUAAGCUUAUUAUUAACAAAUUAAGCUUCUUAACAAGAUUGUAAAAAUCGAAAGCAGUAGGAAGUUGCGGAGUUGAGAUUAGGGAGAGGUGGAGAAUGUCGUCUAGUAACGUGUUGAAGAAGUGGACUAUUUGAGGAAAGAGUUAGGAGUUUGAGUUGGAAAAUAGUUUAAGAAUUGUACGUCACGUGGUUUGACAGCUGUUUUAAGAACCUAUUUUGGUUAUAGAAAGAAGUCCAUGUGCUUUCGGUUACAGAAGGCCAUGUGCUUUUGGGGGCUAGAGUUGGAAUCACGUUAUACCUAGGAGUGUAAACCCUAGUUCUUUAGAAUUGAUGUUUUAGUUUUUUCUUUUGUUUUUGCCAAAUGCCAGACCGUGAACUACGGUGGAUGAGACAUAGAGGACUUUGAGUAGGAAAGUGGUCCCAAGUCUAACAUGAUACUGAUGAUAUUAGUUUAGAGAGAAAAUCAUUUACAACUUCAAAUUUUGCUUUAGAAAAUUAAACGCUCAUUCAAAUUUUAAAUAAUAGACACUCUCCCCUCAUAUGUCAAUUCUCUUUUUCAAAUGUACCCUUACACAUCUUUUUUUAAUUUAUGUAAUAUACUUCUGAAAAAAAUAAAUAUUAUUUCCGAGGGAAAAAAUGUGAAAAAUAGUAAGUUAGUAUAUAGGCUAGUGAAGUUCUAUAAUGAAAUGAAUGAGUAGAUGAAAAAAUUAUUUUAUUAACAUCAAUCAAAACUCUAAUAUCCAUUUUAAAAAUUUAAAUAUUUCAAUGCAGGUACUACAAAAAUAAUUAAUAAAAAUAGACCAAAGCAACAAAGCAAUUAAAAAUCAAAGCAACAACAACGAGAUAUUAAAAAGACCAAAGCAAAAGAUAAAAAUCAAACAAUAAUUAGUAAUUAUAACAAUCUAAGAAUCAAAGUAUAUUAUACUAACACUAAUACUACCGAUAUGGGGACAAAAAGGAGAAUCGCUCGACUACCUACUAACCUUCUACCGUAAUCCUUGACCUCCACACCCUUCUAUUAAAGGUCAUGUUCUCGGAAAGCUAAAGUUGCGUCAUGUGCUGCCCAAUCACAUCUCCCCAAUACUUCUUAGGCCUACCUCUACCGUAUCUCCUACCCACUAAGGUCAACCUUUCACACCUCCUAAUUGGGGCAUCUACGCUUCUCCUCUCCACAUGCCCGAACCAUCUCUACCUUGCCUUCUGGAUCUUAUCCUCCACAUAGGCCGCUUUUGCUUUUCCCGAAUAUCUUUAUUCCUAAUCUAUUUAACCUGGUAUGCUGCACAUCCAUCCCAACAUCCUCAUUUCAGCUACUUUCAUCUUCUAGAUAUGAGAGAUCUUGACUAACCAACACUUUAUCCCUUACAACAUAGUCGGUCUAAUCACUACUUUUUAAAACUUACCUUUGAGUUUU
rnacentral:lncRNA from 1 species